rnacentral:snRNA from 1 species
UGGACCAUGGCGGAGAUCA